AAGGUUAAGGAAUCAACCAGCAAGGGCGUGAGAUGUCACAUAAACUCAGGUCUUCUGCCUCCACAUCCAUUCCCCACACAUAGUGCUAGGUGGCAGGCACAGAUCAACAUGUCUGACAUUCCUGACACGUGCCCAGGGCUAAAGCAAGACCCUUCAUAGCCCAUAUGAGUCUGACAGCAGUGUCCUCACCCCUCUCUCAACCUAAUGAGUAGAAUCAAGCCUGAAAUAAACAGUUCUAAUCACUAACCUCUAAAGCAGACUCUAAAGAAAACAUUUAGGCAUUCUUCAAUCAACUCACCUCUAUUGACUACUGACCACAGUCACCAAGUGUUUUAAUACUUGUAAUAGCAAAAGAAGUGUCCUUUCCCCCUCUUGACUCACCUGUCAUAGGUGACCACCUUUACUACUAGCUGUGGCCAGGGCAAAAGGAAUUAGUGGGUCUAGGGUCAGGCUGCCUCAGCGAGGUAACCAUUCCUGGAGCUCCACGGUUUGGCAGCACUAAACUAGACCCAUAAAAAUCUUAGCUCCAGAUUGGUUCUGCUAAAAAAGAAAGGCUCUUCUCUCAAUCCUCAAAUGACUGGAACACAUACUAUCCACCAUUUAUUCAUUUACUUCAUUCAUUCAACAAAUGAGUACAAAGAACUGACAAUGUGUCAGGCACUGUGCUAGGUAUCAGGGAACAAGAGAGAGUUUACCUAGUGUGGAGAGGUUAGAAAACACAUGCUUUGAAGUGUCUUAAGGGUGGUGGUGAGAAAGGAGAGUGUCUAUGGAAGAGGUGCCUAACAGACUUAGGAGGAGGAGAUUUCCUGAAGGAAGGCAUGUCUAAGCAAAACUAUUAAGGGCAAGUGAGAGUUAAUCACAGAAAGAUUCCAUUAUGCACUAGGCAUUUUCCAUGUAUUCUCUUGCAGUCUCUUAAUCACCCUCUAUGGUUGUUAUAUACAUCUAAUGUGGGAAAACUGAGCCUCCAAGGGAUCUCAUGAUUCUCAAGGGCCAGUUAGUGUCAGAAUUCAAAUCCAGCUCUGCAAACCCAAAGCCCAUGUCUCACUGCUCUUUCACUACUCUGCAAGCAAAACACCUUCUCCCCACUGGUUCAACAGGAGUCCAUGAAUACUCCUUAGUAUCAGCCUGAGAUCUCCCCUGGACUGUGCUUCCAUGAAGCCAGGAGAUCAAAACCAUCCUGGCUAACACGGUGAAACCCCAUCUCUACAAAAAAUUAGCCGGGCGUGGUGGCGGGCGCCUGUAAACCCAGCUACUCGUGAGGCUGAAGCAGGAGGAUCACUUGAACCCGGGAGGCAGAGAUUGCAGUGAGCUGCAAUCGCGCCACUGCACUCCACCCUGGCAACAGAGCGAGACUCCAUCUCACAAAAAAGAAAGAAAGAAAAAGAAAAAA
rnacentral:lncRNA from 1 species